rnacentral:misc_RNA from 1 species
AAGUCUUUCUAGUCAUUCAUAAGUCUCACAUUCAUGUUAUUUAACUAUUAGUUAUGUAUCUUACAGGCAUUUGUUAGUGCCAAUGCUAUUAACAAGUAAUAGUUUAGUAGCCAUAGGUCUUUUUCAAGUUUAGCCUCUUAUUACUUUUCACAAAGUGAUUGUAUUUGGCCUUUUCUAGUCAAAAUAAUAAAGUUUCUAAGUUUCUAUUGGGAGUCCAAAGUCUAAUUAGGAUUAGGAUUGUUGAACAUCAAGACUACACAUAAUCUAUCAAAAUUUAAUUUAGUAAAUGAUAGAGAUUUUCAGAAAAUUUUGAAAUACCUAGGACACAAUUGCCUUCAUAGGUGUGAUAGCUCAGGAAACUUAGGUAUGAUUUCAAGUGAAGGUAUUCUUUUUUAGGAAACAUUGAUAUGUAUUUGUCAAGGGUUUUGUUGAGUGCGAUAGCCAAUUAGCCAUAAUUAUAACUACAUUUUUUUCUUAUUUUUUGAUGAAACAAAUUGCUGGUAGAAUAUAAUUUUG